AGCAGCGCGCAAGUGGGCCGAGCGUCGACCCCGGCGCCGCAGGGGCCCCAGCCCGGGCCCCGGAAAGCUGUGA
rnacentral:ncRNA from 1 species